AUGUGUAGUGAGCAGAAAAAAGGACAGGAAGAGGGGCCAUGCGCAUGCAAAGGGUGUGGAUCCACGGCAAUGCUACACUACACGUACAAACAGUUUACAGGCUUAUUCGUUUUCUUAACACACAUGUCAACAUACAAGUGCAGAUGCAUGGCAAUUAUAUUACACGUCUUUGUUGCGUCUCAGAUGGUCCUCGAGCUCGUGGAUGUACUGUUCCUGACGCCCCUCGUCCACGACAAGCUCCUUCAGCUUCUUGGCGUUGGUUGCAAACAGCUUUCCUUCAUCCUCCACCAUGACACGUCGCACGGCCACUGCGAGGCCGUCCCUCUCGAACGAGCCAUCGCUGUCGUCCCUCGCCACCUCCACACCUAUCCCUCUCUUCGCCAUCGCCCGUGCAAUCAUGGGCGUGUCAAUAAUGAAUGGGAGCAUCACCAACGGGAGCCCGAAGGCGAAGCUCUCAAUGGUGGAGCCCCACCCGCAGUGCGUCAGGAAUGCACCCGUGGCGCCGUGCGCGAGCGCCUUCACCUGCGGCACCCACCCUGUGCAGACCAGCCCGCGCAGCCGGGUUCGCUCCUCGAACCCGGCUGGCAACAGCUCGUCGUCGUUGCCGGUGCCGGUGCCGGCCGGCUUCCGUAG
rnacentral:rRNA from 1 species